GACGAACGCUGGCGGCGUGCCUAAUACAUGCAAGUAGAACGCUGAAGAGAGGAGCUUGCUCUUCUUGGAUGAGUUGCGAAUGGGUGAGUAACGCGUAGGUAACCUGCCUUGUAGCGGGGGAUAACUAUUGGAAACGAUAGCUAAUACCGCAUAACAAUAGGUGACACAUGUCAUUUAUUUGAAAGGGGCAAUUGCUCCACUACAAGAUGGACCUGCGUUGUAUUAGCUAGUAGGUGAGGUAACGGCUCACCUAGGCGACGAUACAUAGCCGACCUGAGAGGGUGAUCGGCCACACUGGGACUGAGACGCGGCCCAGACUCCUACGGGAGGCAGCAGUAGGGAAUCUUCGGCAAUGGGGGCAACCCUGACCGAGCAACGCCGCGUGAGUGAAGAAGGUUUUCGGAUCGUAAAGCUCUGUUGUAAGUCAAGAACGAGUGUGAGAGUGGAAAGUUCACACUGUGACGGUAGCUUACCAGAAAGGGACGGCUAACUACGUG
rnacentral:rRNA from 1 species